UUCUUGAUGGCUCAGAUGGUAAAGAAUCUGCCUAUAAUGCAGGAGACCUAGGUUCAAUCCCUGGGUCAGGGAA
rnacentral:tRNA from 1 species